AAUGAUGUUUUGUGGAAGAUGAUAAGUGAUGAGGAUGAACAAACAAAGAUUAGUAAGCAAGCUGAUGACUACGAAAGGUCCGAAGGAGAUUGCUUCUCCAAGCAAGGAGCAAUAAGAGAUAGAGAUAAAAAAAUCCUAUUUGUUGGUGGGGUUCAUAUGGUGGCCUAGCAUUCGAGCUCCAAAGUUUAGCAAAAAGGAUUAUUAGCCUUUGUUGUUCUGCAUCUGGGUGUGAACGUAACUGGAGUGUGUUUUCUAAUAUCCAUACCAAAAAGAGAAACAGGUUGGA